GGCCGCACGGGCAAUCCGCGCAUCCCCCCCGGCGAGGGCUGCCCUCAGUGCCACAGCCAGCAUCCCUGGCAUUCACCGGCAUUCCUGGCACCCAUCCCUUUGCCGCCAAAUGGGAAUUUCACAGGAACUGCAGAUUACUGCCUCUGCUCAGCCCCCCAUCCUAUAUUCAAGAGAGGAUUUGGAUACCUUGUGAGAGUUGGAUGGCUUGUGAGGUAAAUAGAUCAUGUAAGAGCUUUUGCUGCUGACAGCUGUUGUGUAAAGGUGUGAAAAUCUUGAUACUCUGCAUUAGCUGGAUAGAAAGGAUGUACCCAAAUUGACUACCUUACUCUGUGCUUGAAGAGCAAAGGCAAGAUUUCUUCUUCAACACUGCAUUGCUAGUCCUGGUUGUCAGUGAUGCCAGUUCUCCUUCACCCAUGGGAAGAAGAGACAGGGAGAAGGACCGAAGUUUUGCAAAACUACAAGGAUUCACUACUGCAUCCAGUGGAGAUGGUGGUAUGUAGGUUGGCCUGGCUAGAAUCAAUUACAGUAGCUCCAGUACCACAAGGAGCAUGGGAAGAGAAAAACUGGCCUUAAAAACCAGUCACACAAAGAAGCAAAUCUGUAGAAGACACAUAAUGUCUGCUAAGGAGUGAAAGCAAACCUCAGCAGGCUUGUUGUGCCUGGGAGUCGUCCUUGAGGAAAAAAAAUGUAUUCAUACAUCAUAUUGGACAUUUUCAAGCUGGAUUUCUCAUUGCCCCCAUGAAGUGGCUCUACUUGUCAAAUAGGUCCCUCCCCUUCCCCACUCAUAUGAAAUAUAAUGGAUAAGCAAUCAAGACUCAUAUGGCAUACAGAGAAAUGCAUUAGUUAAGUUGUGCUUUCUGAAGGAAUCAAAGAUCAUGUGGUUAUGCCAUGAGGGUGUAAUCAAAGGGUACAGUGAUGGUACUGCUCCAUAGCCAUCUUCAAAGGGAGCUUUUUUGGCUGGGAUUUCAACCUCAGUCUCAACUUACUUCUUCCUGAAAGGGAUGACAGCUCUGCAGAACGCUGAGUGGCUCCCAUGACCAUUAAAUGACAUUAUUUUUCCAGACAGUUAUCAUAAAUAACAUUUACUGUUAAAACACACGACAAAAACACUAUUACAUUUUCUACUGUGUUUUGAAAUAUAUGCCUUUCUACAGUUCAUGAUCAAAUCUGGCUAAAAGACCCUAGAAUGAAGCUUUUGUGAUCAGACUGCUGUGCUGUAAACUGAAAUAAA